rnacentral:lncRNA from 1 species
AAGAACUUUUAUUAUGAAGAGCACAGGUCAAUGAAGCACGCUAGCCAAUAAGAGGACCCGCCCACCGGCGGAAACCAGAUAUUGAGUGGUAAAUUCGUUUCGCUCAGAAGGAACCAAAAAACGAAUAAACGAACUGAAAUAUUGAUUUUCGUUUUUUUGACAAAACGUAUAAACGAAUAAACGAACUGAAAUCUUGAUUUUCGUUUUCUUGUCAAAACGAAAAAACGAAAAAACGGCUUGUUUUCUGGUUUCUGCUUGCGUCAAUUAUUCCCAGAAAACAGAGUAAUAAAACGUACCUUGCUCCUUCUUAAACUAAUCUUUGGUUAUUCGUUUUUUGGCAGUAGGUACGAUGCUGGGAAACUGCGUGGGCCUGUGAUUACUCAGGCUGGAGUCCCCCCUGAACAACAUAUGAUGACUGGAAAAUAAAUAUGGAGAAAGUUACACCCAUUAUUGAGUCAGGAGCAAAGGGACCGUGUCCAACAGCCAUCAGAGAGAAUGAUCCAAAAGAAGACACAGUGAGGAAGGUGUUGGCGGGGGGGGGCACUGGCCUGGCGGUGGGGGUUUUGUGUGGGGCCGCUUCCCCCCUUGCAGCUGUACUAAGAUCAGCCAUGAUUGUGGGGAGCAGAUUAGCCUUUAGUGCAGCUAAUACGGCCGCUGGGGCCGCUGUCGGAGGGGUUUUGGGAGGCGUUACGGGCUCAGUGAAUGGGGUAGGAGCUGACAGUCCUUUGCAAGCAGCUGAGCAAACCCUGUGCCAGGUGGGCAGAAAGGGGGUCACGGUUGUGGGGGUGGCUGCAGGGUUUGGAGUUAUAGGGCCUCCGGCUGCAGCAGCUGCAGGGUUGUCAGCUCCAGGGGUUCAGGGUACAUCUGUGGCAGCUGCAUUAGGUUAUUUGGCAAAGAAAAAACUAUCCGGGAAUAUAAAAUCAGGUGAAUUUAAAUAGAAUUAAUAAGCUGCUCUGCCAUGUCAUGCCGUAACUAGAAGUGACACAGUCUGUUCUCCGUGCCUGGCGCUGUAGUACUUUACAUGCAGUACUACAUGAACACAUUAAAGUCAAUACCCACCAUUGCAGAACAGAAAUCCGGAUUUUUCCAAUGCUUCCAAUACCACGACCGCUUCACAUACACCACCAUACCUUUACCUGUUUUAUGUAUAACAGGGUCGUUUGGAUCUUGAUACAUUUUGUAUUUUGUAUAAUGGGGCACUCGUCUGGGUGAAAAGCGGGGGCAGAACUGCAGUAGGCUCUUGGGCCAUAAGGGAAGCAGAGCAGACAUCCGACUAGGGGUUAAGGGGCCUGGAUGAGCGGCUGGACACCUUCUCUCUCUCCUCUUGCUUUACUUAUCUUUAUGUUCCUAGUGUUCACUCCACUUGGAGAUGUGCCUAAUCAUUGUAUUAUGUUAGCAUGGUUUAGAAAAUAAAGGUUUUGGGAAGAAUUUUAGACUUAACAUCAGAUGGGUUGUUGGUUUUACAGUUGAUUUAAUUCUGCAUAAAACUGGCUUCUUGAAUGUUUUUAUUGUCAUGAUUUAUUCACUGGAAAAUAAUCAUUAAGGAUGUAUUGAUUUCACAAUCAUAUAAAUGACUUGUAUAUUUUCAAUCAAUAAACAAAUGAUAUCCUGAAC